ACCUGUACGUGAAUGUGCAUAGCAUCAUUAUUCAUAAUAGCCAAAAAGUUUAAACAACCUGGAUAUCCAUCAGACCAGGAAUCGGCCAACAGAAUAUAGUAUACCCAUACGAUGGAAACUUCCAUAGCAAUAAAAAUGUGGGUGAACCUUAAAAACCUUAUGCUAAGUUUAAGGAGCCAGACACGAAAGUACACAUAUCCUAUGAUUUUAUUCAUGUGAAAUGUUUAGAACAGGCAGAUCCAUAGAGGCAGAAAGUCGAUUGGUGGUUUCAGGGGGAUCGGGAGGGUGACCACAAAUGGCUGCGAGGAGUUGGGAUGAUGAAAAUGUUCUAGAUUAGUGGUGAUGGUUGUACAACUCUGGGAAUAUACUAAGAACGCUGAAUCGUACACUUCACCAGGAUCAAUUUUCUGGUAUGUGGAUUAUAUGUCAGUGAACCGUUAUUUUAAAAAAAGACAUUCGUAAGUGCUGUUCCCAGGUGGUAACAGGUGGGGCCAUUUGACCAGGUUUUAAAUUACUGGGCCUUUAAAAAGAGGACAGGCCUGGUGCCACAGGAACACACUCAGAGGGAGGGUUUCACCGUGUGGCGCAAGACCCCGGCCCGGGCGGCAGGCGCACUGGGUCCUAGUCCCAGCUUUAUGGUCCGUGAAACUUGGCCGGAGUCACUAAGCUGUAGACCUCGGGGCAGUUUAUUUAGCCACUUGUGUUUCUUCAUUUGGAUUUGUUCAGAAAUGGUAACUGGUCUUCACUUUGCUCAUUUGUAAAAUGAGAACGUAGAGACCCGGUGAUCUUCCAUUUUGUUACAGCUCUAGCAUGGCGGUACACCAUUGUCUAUGGCAAAACCAUGUAUGGUCCGUAGGCCCCCCUGAGAAUCUUCCCAGGAACAUGCGCAUACACACACAGAGUUUCUUCCCUUAUAAUUUUUGUGGAUUCACCAACCAAAGCCUCCAUGAACUCCACUCAUACAUGAUAGAACAUGUUGGAUGCAAUUAAUCCAUGGGAGAAAGUUGCCUGUGGUGGUGACAGAAGUUAGACCGACCAGCUGGAGCAGAGUAGUUAUCGAGACCACUGAAGAAGAUAGGGACCAUCAGUGCCAGGCUCAGGAAUCGGGCCACAUCCUGUUUGCCAACCUGGAUACACAGCAGAAUGACCUGGAAACACUAGUGUAGGGCUUACCUCCUGGGGAAGGAACUUGGUGCGCAGGGUUAC